GUCUAAUUCAGGUAAACAAAAUACCUCUUGUGUUCAGCAUACUUGAUUCAUGCCCAAUAUGAGAUCACAUGAAAGAAAAGAAUCUGUGUGGCUAUGUCAGCUUACCGGGACAGAUGCUCAAAGUUUGGAUUUCCGAGGACAAGGGUAUCCUUAUGGGCACUUUAUUUGAAGCGUGUGUUUAACAUAAGACUAAUUCAGACCAUCAGGCAUCAGUAGCUGAUAGACGUCUUCAAAAGGAUCUGGUUCAAACUUAUGUGUGCUUUUAGUUAGUGCGAUCGUCUACUGGCAUUCCAGAAUAAAUGAAGGCUGCUACUCUUUCAUGUCUUUCGUUUUUUGUUUCCGUUGUCAUAUGAUGGUAUACUUAAGCAGUAGCUUGUGAUGAGUAUGAUAACUUGUUCUGGUAAUUAUCAAAUGUGUGUGUAAACCUAAUAUUCCAACAUACUUAAGGUUUAGAUGAGUGAUUAAGGCUGCAAUCAUUCUACAAAUGUUCAUUAAAACCGUAUGUAUGGCUUCUGUGCAUCACAACCUCUCAUUACAAUUUUCAAAAGUGAUGAUAUGUUUGGAUUGGUUUGCAUGAUGUAAUGAGAAUGAAUACAAGUCAGAUAGAUG